rnacentral:rRNA from 1 species
GUAGGUGGCAAGCGUUGUCCGGAAUUAUUGGGCGUAAAGCGCGCGCAGGCGGUUCUUUAAGUCUGAUGUGAAAGCCCACGGGCUCAACCGUGGAGGGUCAUUGGAAACUGGAGAACUUGAGUACAGAAGAGGAAAGCGGAAUUCCACGUGUAGCGGUGAAAUGCGUAGAGAUGUGGAGGAACACCAGUGGCGAAGGCGGCUUUCUGGUCUGUAACUGACGCUGAGGCGCGAAAGCGUGGGGAGCAAACAGGAUUAGAUACCCUGGUAGUCCACGCCGUAAACGAUGAGUGCUAAGUGUUAGGGGGCUUCCGCCCCUUAGUGCUGCAGCUAACGCAUUAAGCACUCCGCCUGGGGAGUACGGCCGCAAGGCUG